UACGGGGGGGGCAAGCGUUGUUCGGAAUUACUGGGCGUAAAGGGCUCGUAGGUUGCCAACUAAGUCAGACGUGAAAUCCCUCGGCUUAACCGGGGAACUGCGUCUGAUACUGGAUGGCUUGAGUUCGGGAGAGGGAUGCGGAAUUCCAGGUGUAGCGGUGAAAUGCGUAGAUAUCUGGAGGAAUACCGGUGGCGAAGGCGGCAUCCUGGACCGACAUUGACGCUGAUGAGCGAAAGCUAGGGGAGCAAACGGG
rnacentral:rRNA from 1 species